GUCUCGGAGGCGCGCACUCGUGAGUAGACUCGUGCAGAAAUUUCUUCUCAGGGUUGAGCUAGGAGCUUGUUCCUGAUCGAAGAAUGGAACAUCCGGUUUUCGAGAGAAUCGGCCGAUUGGCUCGACAGCUACGUGACAACCAGACCAAAGAGAAGUUCGAACUCUGCGAUUCAAUUGCUGCACUCUUGCGCAACAUAGCGGCGGUGAGAAUUUCCACAGUUUCCAUGGUCCCUUCCCUCGAAGAGUGGAACUAACAUGCGUGGCAUUUCCGACACAGCCUGAGAGAUAUCUUCCAAUCGCAACUGUCCAUCGACUUCCGCCGGAGCGCCCUUAAUUUGAGCGCAGCUCUAUUUGAAUGUUUCGGCGACUCGUGGUUGGAUAGCAGCCCGGACUCGCACAUCCUGCUAACGCUCAUGACCCAAAUAGCCUGCAUCGAACUCCGGGUCUCUCUGAGCAGAAAAACAUCCUUCAAGGAGCUUGAGGAUUUCGCGCCUCCUCAGAGUCUCUGCUGCUGUUUGAGGAUAUUGCAUGGCUCCGUCCACCGGCUCACGAACGAUCCGGGAGACACGAAGUGGGAACCCCAGCAAAUACUGUCUCUGCAGAAAUGCUACACCCAAACUGCUCAGGCGGUUGCGACGUUCAUCGAUUUGCUUCUAUCCGAAGAAGAUUUCGAGUCAAACCUCGAGCUCCGCCGCUUCCUACAUUCCGCCGUUGAAGCCUUGACCUUCUGGAACCUGAAUGACAUGGACAGCAUCGAGGACGUCAUGCAGCCGCUCCUGGCCAGACUCUCUCGAUUUUGUCAUCGGAUGAAGUGGUCUGAAGCUUGCCUGAAUAUCGUUGCGCGUCUCGACCACGAGCCGGACAUCAACAGCUCCGCUUUGGUCAGCCAAGUCUGGGAUGGCAAUGAUGAUUUCAUUUACUUCACCGUCCACGUGUUUACGUCCCAAAUCGGCCAGCUCAAGGCUGACCAUGACCGUCGGUUAGUCAAUGUAGCGCGCUUCCUUUUCGAAGACUUCGAUUCGCUAACAUUCCCCGAUACGGAGGAGCACUUAUACACUUGUGCCAAAUGUCUGGCUGAGUGGAUGGCGGACAAGAGACAAUUCGGCACCUUCGAAGCUCAGUCUCUUCUGACCGUCGCCUGCCUUGUAAUGAAACUCUGCCAGGUGAACGUGGAAGACAGCGAUCGCUUCACGAUGGCGGUUGUUUGUUCGGUCCAGGUCCUGUGGACCUUCUGCGGUUUCAACAAGAACAACAAGGCCAACACCUUCAGGAUACCCACAAUUUACAAGAAAAUGGAAGAUGAGCUGCCGAGUUUCAUUGACAUGUGGUGCGAUUCUGUGCAAGUGCUCGCGCAGCUGGUCCGCAAGAAAGAGAGCGUCGCGAGAUUCCUGCUCAAACACAAACUCCCUCAUCGAGCGCAAACAGUGCCUUUGAUGGGAACAAUGGAGAUGCCUGAUCCGAUGGAGACAGCCCUACAAGAGUUCCAACAAGCCAUCGCGGCGACCUGCCCCGACAUGAAGGAGGAACUCGAGUCGUUGCAGGAAGACCUUCUUAUGGGCACCGAUUACAAGAAUAUGUAA
rnacentral:sRNA from 1 species